CAUGCAAGUCGAGGGGCAGCAUGGUCUUAGCUUGCUAAGGCCGAUGGCGACCGGCGCACGGGUGAGUAACACGUAUCCAACCUGCCGUCUACUCUUGGACAGCCUUCUGAAAGGAAGAUUAAUACAAGAUGGCAUCAUGAGUCCGCAUGUUCACAUGAUUAAAGGUAUUCCGGUAGACGAUGGGGAUGCGUUCCAUUAGAUAGUAGGCGGGGUAACGGCCCACCUAGUCUUCGAUGGAUAGGGGUUCUGAGAGGAAGGUCCCCCACAUUGGAACUGAGACACGGUCCAAACUCCUACGGGAGGCAGCAGUGAGGAAUAUUGGUCAAUGGGCGAGAGCCUGAACCAGCCAAGUAGCGUGAAGGAUGACUGCCCUAUGGGUUGUAAACUUCUUUUAUAAAGGAAUAAAGUCGGGUAUGNAUACCCGUUUGCAUGUNCUUUAUGAAUAAGGAUCGGCUAACUCCGUGCCAGCAGCCGCGGUAAUACGGAGGAUCCGAGCGUUAUCCGAAUUUAUUGGGUUUAAAGGGAGCGUAGAUGGAUGUUUAAGUCAGUUGUGAAAGUUUGCGGCUCAACCGUAAAAUUGCAGUUGAUACUGGAUAUCUUGAGUGCAGUUGAGGCAGGCGGAAUUCGUGGUGUAGCGGUGAAAUGCUUAGAUAUCACGAAGAACUCCGAUUGCGAAGGCAGCCUGCUAAGCUGCAACUGACAUUGAGGCUCGAAAGUGUGGGUAUCAAACAGGAUUAGAUACCCUGGUAGUCCACACGGUAAACGAUGAAUACUCGCUGUUUGCGAUAUACGGCAAGCGGCCAAGCGAAAGCGUUAAGUAUUCCACCUGGGGAGUACGCCGGCAACGGUGAAACUCAAAGGAAUUGACGGGGGCCCGCACAAGCGGAGGAACAUGUGGUUUAAUUCGAUGAUACGCGAGGAACCUUACCCGGGCUUAAAUUGCAGAUGAAUUACGGUGAAAGCCGUAAGCCGCAAGGCAUCUGUGAAGGUGCUGCAUGGUUGUCGUCAGCUCGUGCCGUGAGGUGUCGGCUUAAGUGCCAUAACGAGCGCAACCCUUGUUGUCAGUUACUAACAGGUUCCGCUGAGGACUCUGACAAGACUGCCAUCGUAAGAUGUGAGGAAGGUGGGGAUGACGUCAAAUCAGCACGGCCCUUACGUCCGGGGCUACACACGUGUUACAAUGGGGGGUACAGAGGGCCGCUACCACGCGAGUGGAUGCCAAUCCCAAAAACCUCUCUCAGUUCGGACUGGAGUCUGCAACCCGACUCCACGAAGCUGGAUUCGCUAGUAAUCGCGCAUCAGCCACGGCGCGGUGAAUACGUUCCCGGGCCUUGUACACACCGCCCGUCAAGCCAUGGGAGCCGGGGGUACCUGAAGUGCGUAACC
rnacentral:rRNA from 1 species